GGAAAUGUUUAGAAAUUUUUUUUUUUUGAAAACCUGACCCCAGGGUAUGCCAGAUCCUCCACAAAUACAGGGAGUCCACUGUUCACACGGACAGAGUCUCCCCUGUAUUUGCACGGCGUCGCACAAGUACAAGAUAUUUAAUAGGAAUACAACCACCACUAAAUGAAUAUACAAAUAAUCAUACAUUCAUACAUUCACCAUUCACAUUAAUAUUUACAUUCGAUGUUUAAUCAUAAAUCCACAUCUAUUAGUUAAAACGUUUCCUACCCGGAAACUGAUUUUGAAAUAUUAAGAUACAAAAUCCAUAGAAAAAUCUUUUAAAACUGUUUUCCACACGGAAACUCUUAUCUUUUGAAAACACGCUACCACGAGGGGUAGAAAACUAUUUC
rnacentral:lncRNA from 1 species